rfam:Phlebotomus papatasi Contig4108.1, whole genome shotgun sequence.
GUCAGGAUGGCCGAGCGGUCUAAGGCGCCAGACUCAAGAGCAAUCUUACCCAUACAAAUGGGUUCGGGGCGUUCUGGUCCUCAAUUGAGGGCGUGGGUUCGAAUCCCACUUCUGACA